UACGUAGGAUCCAAGCGUUAUCCGGAUUCACUGGGCUUAAAGGGUGCGUAGGUGGAAUGACAAGUCAGUGGUGAAAACCUGCAGCUUAACUGUAGAACUGCCAUUGAUACUGUUAUUCUUGAGUACAUUUGAUGUGAGCGGAAUGUGUCAUGUAGCGGUGAAAUGCUUAGAUAUGACACAGAACACCAAUUGCGAAGGCAGCUCACAAAACUGUAACUGACACUGAGGCACGAAAGCGUGGGGAGCAAACAGG
rnacentral:rRNA from 1 species